GAUAACCGUGGGAAACUGGGGCUAAUACAUGCAUAAAAGCCGAAAGGCCGUAUUUAUUAGUUUCAAAUCAAUAUAACUCAGUUAUUUUGUGAGGAAUCAUAAUAACUUGUCGAAGUGCCGCGAGGCACUACUUCAUUCAAGUUUCUGCCCUAUCAGCUUGAUGGUAGUGUAUUGGACUACCAUGGCUAUAACGGGUAACGGAGAAUUGGGGUUCGAUUCCGGAGAGGGAGCCUGAGAAACGGCUACCAUUUCUAAGGAAGGCAGCAGGCGCGUAAAUUACCCAAUCCUGACUCAGGGAGGUAGUUAAUAGAAAUAACACGUUCGGCUCUAUGAGCUCUGAACAUGUAAUGAAAUAAAUUUAAAACACUUUUCGAAUCCUAUUGGAGGGAAAGUCUGGUGCCAGCAGCCGCGGUAAUUCCAGCUCCAAUAGCGUAUAUUAAAGUUGUUGCAGUUAAAAAGCUCGUAGUUGAAAUUCCGGCGUCUUUAGACGUCUGCCUGGAAGAACUAGCGAUACCGUAAAAAGUUUUGCUUUUUUGAACAGGCUUUUACUGUGAACAAAUUAAAGUGCUCAAAGCAGGCUUUUGCUUGAAUAUUCUAGCAUGGAAUAAUAAAAUAUGACUUUAUUCAUUUUAUUGGUUAUUGAAUGAAGUAAUGAUUAAUAGGAACAGUUGGGGGCAUUCGUAUUUAAUAGUCAGAGGUGAAAUUCUUAGAUUUAUUAAAGACGAACUAAAGCGAAAGCAUUUGCCAAGGAUGUUUUCAUUAAUCAAGAACGAAAGUUAGGGGAUCAAAGACGAUUAGAUACCGUCGUAGUCCUAACUAUAAACUAUACC
rnacentral:rRNA from 1 species